GCCUAGACACUAGCCCCACAAAUUAUCUGCCACACCCCCACUAAAUAAAACAUUUUCACCAUUAAGUAACGGCGAUUAAAAAAUGACUAAGAGCUAUAAAAAUAGUACCGCAAGGGAAACCUGAAAUAAAAUGAAAACCUAAAGCACAAUACAGCAAAGCCUAAAUCUUGUACCUUUUGCAUCAUGGUCUAGCUAGUUUAAUCAAGCAAAACGCAUUUAAAGUUUGACCCCCCGAAACUAAGCGAGCUACUUUAAAACAGCCUUUAAGGGCCAACCCGUCUCUGUAGCAAAAGAGUGGGAUGAUUUUAAAGUAGAGGUGACACACCUAUCGAGCCUAGAGAUAGCUGGUUAUUCAAGAAAAGGAUUUUAGUCCACCUUUAAGCUUCCUAAUUAACACUAAACACUCAAUAAACUUAAAAGCCACUCAAAUAGGGUACAGCCUAUUUGAACUAGGAAACAACCUCAAAUACAGGGUAAUGAUAUUCUACAUGUGACUAAGUAGGCCUAAAAGCAGCCAACUUCUAAAUAGCGUCCAAGCUUUACCACCAACCAUUACUAAUCCCAUUAUUUCUGCACAACCCGCAACCACUACUGAAUGACCCCAUAUCCAUUAUGGGACACAUUAUGCUAGAACUAGUAACAAGAAGAAGCACUUCUCCAAAAUUUAAGCGUAAGCCAAAAUGAACAACUCACCGGCACUCACCGCCAUCAAGCCUACAGUACUAACCAUACAAGAAAACCCUACUACACCCGGCGUUAACCUUACACUACAUUAUUACUGGAAAGAUUAAAAAAGGAGGAAGGAACUCGGCAAAUAUUAGCCCCGCCUGUUUACCAAAAACAUCGCCUCUUGACAAACUAUGAGAGGUCUAGCCUGCCCAGUGACCAAAAGUUAAACGGCCGCGGUACCCUAACCGUGCAAAGGUAGCACAAUCACUUGUUCUUUAAAUCAGGACUAGUAUGAACGGCCCCACGAGAGCUAUACUGUCUCCCCCCUUAAAUCAGUGAAACUGAUCUCCCCGUGAAGAAGCGGGGAUAUCCCUAUAAGACGAGAAGACCCCAUGGAACUUUAACACUUGUACCACUGCCCAUGCCUACACCAACUACCCAGCAAAUAUGGCUACAAGUCUUUCGGUUGGGGCGACCACGGAGAAAAACCAAACCUCCACGAUGAUAAAUAUAUAUAAUUAAAGAGCCACUACUCUAAAAAUCAAUAAACUGACAUAGUUUGACCCAAACACUUUGAUCAACGAACCAAGCUACCCUGGGGAUAACAGCGCAAUCCAUUUCAAGAGAUCCCAUCGACAAAUGGGCUUACGACCUCGAUGUUGGAUCAGGGUACCCCAGUGGUGCAGCCGCUACUAAUGGUUCGUUUGUUCAACGAUUAAAACCCU
rnacentral:rRNA from 1 species